UUGAACGCUGGCGGAAUGCUUUACACAUGCAAGUCGAACGGCAGCACGGGGGCAACCCUGGUGGCGAGUGGCGAACGGGUGAGUAAUGUAUCGGAACGUACCUAGUCGUGGGGGAUAACUAUCCGAAAGGAUAGCUAAUACCGCAUACGUCCUGAGGGAGAAAGCGGGGGAUCGCAAGACCUCGCGCGAUUGGAGCGGCCGAUAUCGGAUUAGCUAGUUGGUGAGGUAAAGGCUCACCAAGGCGACGAUCCGUAGCGGGUCUGAGAGGACGACCCGCCACACUGGAACUGAGACACGGUCCAGACUCCUACGGGAGGCAGCAGUGGGGAAUUUUGGACAAUGGGCGCAAGCCUGAUCCAGCCAUGCCGCGUGUGUGAAGAAGGCCUUCGGGUUGUAAAGCACUUUCGGACGGAACGAAAUCGCACGGGCGAAUAUCCCGUGUGGAUGACGGUACCGUAAGAAGAAGCACCGGCUAACUACGU
rnacentral:rRNA from 1 species